CCUACGGGAGGCAGCAGUGAGGAAUAUUGGUCAAUGGGCGCGAGCCUGAACCAGCCAAGUCGCGUGAGGGAUGACGGUCCUACGGAUUGUAAACCUCUUUUGCCGGGGAGCAAGCGUGCGUUCGUGAACGCGCUUCGAUGUUACCCGGAGAAAAAGCCUCGGCUAACGCCGUGCCCGCCGCCGCGGUAAGACGAGGGAUGCGAGCUUUUGCCGGAUUUAUUGGGUUUAAAGGGUGCGUAGGCGGGAUGCUAAGUCAGCGGUAAAAAUGCGGUGCUCAACGCCGUCGAGCCGUUGAAACUGGCGUUCUUGAGUGGGCGAGAAGUAUGCGGAAUGAGUGGUGUAGCGGUGAAAUGCAUAGAUAUCACGCAGAACUCAGAUUGCGAAGGCAGCAUACCGGAGCCCUACUGACGCUGAGGCACGAAAGCGUGGGUAUCGAACAGGAUUAGAUACCCUUGUAGUC
rnacentral:rRNA from 1 species